CCAGCACCCCGAGUGGUCGGGACGAUUAUUGGGCCUAAAGCAUCCGUAGCUUGUUCUGCAAGUCCUCCGUUAAAUCCACCUGCUCAACAGAUGGGCUGCGGGGGAUACUACAGGGCUAGGAGGCGGGAGAGGCAAACGGUACUCAGUGGGUAGGGGUAAAAUCCUCUGAUCCACUGAAGACCACCAGUGGCGAAGGCGGUUUGCCAGAACGCGCUCGACGGUGAGGGAUGAAAGCUGGGGGAGCAAACCGGAUUAGAUACCCGGGUAGUCCCAGCUGUAAACGAUGCAGACUCGGUGAUGGGUUGGCUUUGAGCCAACCCAGUGCCGCAGGGAAGCCGUUAAGUCUGCCGCCUGGGGAGUACGGUCGCAAGACUG
rnacentral:rRNA from 1 species